CUUCUUCAAUUUGUUGUGGACAGAUAAAGUGAAUGUGGGUAUCAAUAGCCCCCGCGGUAAUGAUCAUGCCUUCACCGGCAAUCACCUCGGUGCCUGCGCCAAUCGCUAUCGUCACGCCAGGUUGUAUAUCCGGAUUACCGGCUUUGCCGAUGGCUGAAAUAUAGCCAGCCUUGAUGCCGAUAUCGGCUUUGACGAUGCCCCAGUGGUCUAUGAUCAGUGCAUUGGUAAUCACGGUAUCGGCCACUUCUGCUGCCAAACCCUGGCCUUGGCCCAUGCCAUCGCGGAUG
rnacentral:sRNA from 1 species